rnacentral:rRNA from 1 species
UACGGAGGGUGCAAGCGUUAUCCGGAUUCACUGGGUUUAAAGGGUGCGUAGGUGGCUUUGUAAGUCAGUGGUGAAAUCUCGGAGCUUAACUCCGCAACUGCCAUUGAUACUGCUUAGCUUGAAUCAAGUAGAGGUGGAUGGAAUAUUACAUGUAGCGGUGAAAUGCUUAGAUAUGUAAUAGAACACCGAUUGCGAAGGCAGUUCACUAUGCUUGUAUUGACACUGAGGCACGAAAAGCGUGGGGGAUCAAACAGG